rnacentral:lncRNA from 1 species
ACCCGCCUUGGCCUCCCUAAGUGCUGGGAUUACAGGCAUGAGUGCCUGGUCCUAAUGUACACAUUUUGAUAAUUUUGUUUGUUUGUUUUUUGUUUGAGACAGGAUCUUGCUCUGUCCCCCAGGCUAGAGUACAGUGGCAUGAUCAUGACUUAUUGCACCGUUGACCUUCCUGGCUCAAGCGAUCCUCCCGCUUCAGCCUCCUGCGUAGCUUGGAGUAGCUGGGCCAUAGGCUGGCAUGAAGUGGCUCAAUCUCAGCUCACUGCAACCUCCACCUCAAGGAUUGAAGCGAUUCUCAUGCCUCAGACUCCCCAGUAGCUGGGGUUACAGGUCAAAAACUACUACCGCAAUGAGUGGGAAGUCAGAUGAUUAAUGUCUGCUGUUUACACAGAAACUUGCAGAGAUUUACAGCAAGAGCAUAAGUAUAUCAAGAUGACAAUAACAACAAUGUUUAACAUCUAGAAGCCACUUCCAACAAAACCAUGUGGAAGGCGGGAGCAAAUUGCAUAGAUGUGGACAAUGAGAUUUGGAGAGUUUACGUAACUUGCUAAAGGUCAUGCACCCGGAAAACUUGACAAAAGGACUGUAUAGUUAAUAACAAUGCUGCCUCAGAAUCAGUUUCCUUCCAUGUUAAUUUAUUAUUUUUCCUUCAUUUUCACACCUAGCAACGGCAGGUGGCGUCCUUGUGGUGGUGCACCUCUCUAACACUUCUUUCAUCUCCACAUUUUUCAUUAACCACAGCAAGGAAUGAUUCUGUGUUUCGUCAUUCAUGUGAUUAAAUUGUAGCCACCUGGAUAACCUAGGAUCUCUCUUCAUCUCAAGAUGCUUAAAAACAAGCAUGACCUGGGACAUGAAAUUCUUUGCAUUGUUAUAGAAAUGACAAUUCUGCUUAAUCAAAAAUACAAUAAAAAUAUUUUUAAAAUUGUCUUGUAUUUCUCCAUGAUUUUUAAAUUUUGACUAGAAAUACUUUAUUGUACAG